UUUCAUCUAACUGCCCCAUUUAUCAUUUAUCAUCUGUAUAUCCCGAUUCUCCAAUUUUUGUUCAUGUAUGAACUUCCAGCGGUUCACAAGAGACUUAAUCGACAGAAACUGCCCCAUUUACCAUCUGUAUCCGGAUUCUCAAAUUUCCUUUCAUGUUUGAACUUUUAUAUUGUUGCAGCGAUUUACAGGAGACUUAUUCGAUAGAAAUAGCCUUCAAUCUCAAACUAAAAAGAGAAAAUGAGAUCACUAGACAGCCAAAUGUGGCAUUUGGUGUAUCUAAUAGAGAAUGUCAUUCUUAAUCUUUCACAUGGCCAAGAGCAAAUGCCAUGGUUGAUAGACUACACAGGAUGGUCUUUAACCAAUAAUGUUCCCCUCAAAUAUUAUUGACAUCAAAUCUCUCAAUGUCUUAACAUUCGAGAAAAACGCAUAGCAAAGUAAGGAACUACUUCAAGCUCAUGCACGUAAAUGAAGUAAAAUACAAAGUCGAUACUGUAAGCUAGAAAGAAGUGAAAGGAUGUAAUUGAUUUAUGUAAUUCAUUAUUGUUUUUUGAACAAGCUUGCAAAACGGAAUUGCAUUAUUUACAUCUACGCGAGUUGUUUUGGAGAUUUGCACAUAUAGUCGUUUCUCAUAGCUACGUACUUGAUUUUCUUUCUGUUUUAUUUUUGGUGUUUCAUUAUUCAAAUAUAUUUUUCAGAAUCUGUUUACACUUCUACGGGCAAUUUACGAAUCACUUUAUUUAUUUUUUUACUUGAAGCACACACAUUGAUAUCUUGAUUGAUACUUUUGGUGGAAGGAGUAUAGAUUUUUCCUUUUACCUUAUUUCCGUCAAAUUCACCAAAUCAAGGUAUGCUUAUUUAUUCGGUCUUUUAUUUAUUUAUAUGAUUCAAACCUAUAUAAACGGUAAUAUUUAUUUGAUUCUAGAUAUUUUUAAAAAUUUGAGCCAUAAAAGUUGCUACAGUAUCUUCAGGAGCAUUACUUCUUCUCUUCCAGGUGUAUUCUCCACUUUUCAGGUGUUGAAUUUGAUGCUCAAAAUGGUUUCAAAGUUCUUUUGAAAUAUCAAUAUAAUUGGUAUCUUGAUGAAGCACAAGGCAGAAGAAGGUAAAUCAUGGAGAAAAAGGAACACCAGUGGUUGAAGUAAGGAGAAAAAGGAACAACAGCAUAAACUGAGAAUGAUUUCAAGCAUUCAAAAUUCAAAUAUCUCAUUGAGAAUGUUGAUCUGAUAAAUUGCUGAGUGAAAACCAUCGAAAAAGAAGAAAGAAUUCCACCUUUGUUAAUAUAUUAGAGGUUUACAUUGCAUAUGAUGCAAGUCGCUUUUCUGGGAGCUAAUGGCUAUGGCUAUAGCUUCAAGAAUGCUUACAAUUAAAUAUGUUAAAGAAGUCAAAGAUGAAAAGAAGAAAUGAGCAUAAUCAAAGGUCAUACAUCAUGAAAAAGAUGCGUACUUUGACCAAGGAUUGCAGUAAGGUGGAUUUUUUCCCCCUCUGAAACGAUAAAUUCACCCAUUAUAUCCAGCUAAUAGCUUAAUGUUAGAAAUUACGAGAAGUACCACCAUUAGAUUAGAAAAAAGUUCACGGCUUCUAAAACAACAAAUAGUAGUGGAUUGCAACAUCUACUCCCAUGAUGCUAAUUUUGGUACCCACGGAAUGCACGGCAUUAUCAAAAUAUAUAUUAAUUAAGUCAACUUAUGUUUUCGCUUUUUACAA